rnacentral:rRNA from 1 species
AUACGGAGGGUGCAAACGUUGCUCGGAAUCAUUGGGCGUAAAGCACACGUAGGCGGCCAAGUAAGUUGGAUGUGAAAGCCCAGGGCUCAACCCUGGAAGUGCAUCCAAAACUGCAUGGCUUGAGUGCCGGAGGGGCUCAGAGAAUUCCCGGUGUAGAGGUGAAAUUCGUAGAUAUCGGGAGGAAUACCAGUGGCGAAGGCGCUGGGCUGGACGGUAACUGACGCUGAGGUGUGAAAGCGUGGGGAGCAAACAGGAUUAGAUACCCUAGUAGUCC